AGAAUCAACGCUGGCGGCGUGCCUAACACAUGCAAGUCGAACGAGAAAGUGGAGCAAUCCAUGAGUACAGUGGCGACCGGGUGAGUAACACGUGACUACCUACCCUUGAGUGGGGGAUAACCUCGGGAAACCGAGGCUAAUACCGCAUAAUAUCGAGAGAUCAAAGGAGUAAUCCGCUUUUGGAAGGGGGUCGCGGCUGAUUAGCUAGUUGGUAGGGUAAUGGCCUACAAAGGCGAAGAUCGGUAUCCGGCCUGAGAGGGCGCACGGACACACUGGAACUGAAACACGGUCCAGACUCCUACGGGAGGCAGCAGUGGGGAAUUUUGCGCGAAUGGGGGAAACCCUGACGCAGCAACGCCGCGUGGAGGAUGAAGCCCCUUGGGGUGUAAACUCCUUUCGACCGGGAAAAUAAUGAUGGUACCGGUGGAAGAAGCACCGGCUAACUCGUGUGCCAGCAGCCGC
rnacentral:rRNA from 1 species